UACGGGGGGGGCAAGCGUUGUUCGGAAUUACUGGGCGUAAAGGGCUCGUAGGCGGCCAACUAAGUCAGACGUGAAAUCCCUCGGCUUAACCGGGGAACUGCGUCUGAUACUGGAUGGCUUGAGGUUGGGAGAGGGAUGCGGAAUUCCAGGUGUAGCGGUGAAAUGCGUAGAUAUCUGGAGGAACACCGGUGGCGAAGGCGGUUCUCUGGGCAUGACCUGACGCUGAGGAGCGAAAGUGUGGGGAGCGAACAGG
rnacentral:rRNA from 1 species